rnacentral:rRNA from 1 species
UUCCGGUUGAUCCUGCCGGAUCCGCGUGUGAUCGAGGGUUCCGGUCUAGGCCGGGGCUCGCGGAUGUACGUGCUCCGACGGUAACCAGCACUACAAGACCGCCUCUGUGAGGCGGUUCUUUGUUGGAGAGUUUGAUCCUGGCUCAGGAUAAACGCUGGCGGCGUGCCUAAUGCAUGCAAGUCGCGCGUCGAAACCGGUUUCGGCCGGUGGAAAGCGGCGGACGGGUGAGUAACACGUAGGAACCUGCCCAGAAGUGGGGGACAACCCCGGGAAACCGGGGCUAAUACCGCAUACGGUCCACGGACCAAAGCCUUCGGGCGCUUCUGGAGGGGCCUGCGGCGGAUUAGCUUGUUGGUGGGGUAACGGCCUACCAAGGCGACGAUCCGUAGCUGGUCUGAGAGGGCGGUCAGCCACACUGGGACUGAGAUACGGCCCAGACUCCUACGGGAGGCAGCAGCAAGGAAUUUUCCGCAAUGGGCGCAAGCCUGACGGAGCAACGCCGCGUGGGGGAUGAAGGCUCUAGGGUUGUAAACCCCUUUUGCGAGGGAAGAAGAUCUGACGGUACCUCGCGAAUAAGCCACGGCUAACUACGUGCCAGCAGCCGCGGUAAUACGUAGGUGGCAAGCGUUGUCCGGAUUCACUGGGCGUAAAGCGCGCGCAGGCGGGCCAAUAAGUC